AGUUUUGCAAGUUCAUCAGUCAGAACUAGUUCCAGUGCUUCCAAUCUGAAUUUAUGGUUAGGAAGGAUCAAUACGGCUUUGCCAUUCAUACGUGUUGAGAAAAUGAAACCACUACUAGUUGCCUGUAUUUUGUUCAUCGUCCAUCAGGUAUCAUCAGAUGCUGACAUAGCAACGAUGAUAACGCGCAUAACCGAAUCAUGUGCAGAAAGAAAUGGAGUUCUAUCUAAUCAAAUGAAUGAGCAUAUGUCAAAGGAUGAACUUCCAGAAGAUAAUGGUCCAUUUAUACAAUUCUACGAAUGCCUCAUGUCAGAUCUUGGUAUGUACGAUGAGAAUGGCGAAGUCCACUUUGAACGUGUGCCAAACAAUAAACCGGUCUACAUAGUUGAACGUCUUGGUGACGAUAUCAGUACCACCCUGAUUCUUGAGGCGUUUGAUCACUGCAACAGUCAAGUAAAAGUUUCGCCACGAGCGCUUGAUGCGAUUAAACGCCGAAACUGCGGUUUGAAGUACAUAAAAAAUAAACUUAAGAAGAGUAAUUAAACAAAUUGUCGUAAUUGGUGUUUAUUGAUACUUGUUCCUAAUUGAAAUAUGAGGGGAAGAUAUCUCAUAUCAACUGUUUUGUGGAUCUUUUCUUGUGGUGAAGUAAUACGCUAAUAAACUAAGCAAAGUAAGAACUA